ACGCAGAGUACAUGUGAAUCGAAUUUACUAGUGAAUAUUUGAAUAAUGAAUGCACUCCUUCUCCGAGUAAAAUUCAUAGCUGCGAUAAACAAGGACAAGA